GUUUUUGAGCAGAUUGCUAAUAUAUUCCAAACCUGAACUACCUAGUGAAGACCUGCAGAAAAAGAAGUGGAAGAAUUCUGAGCUUCCUAAUUUGAGUGGAGGUUAUAGCACAAUAUUAUUAAGAUCAAACUGCCUCUUGCCUCAAAUCAAGAAGAAAAAAACUCUUCUUUGACUAAAGCCAGAAUUGAAUUUAUACUGCUUCCCAUGAAUUUCUACAGUGAUCAGGACCAUUUCUUUCUGUCAACAAUUUCAGCCUGUUCUUUCAAAACAUGAAGAGACAAAGAAAUGUCCUCCCGAUCUCCAACCCCACUGCAGACCUCUUGGUCAGCCUUGUCUGAGGUGACUUAGCAUCAGCUAGUGGAAACUGUCCAGCUGAGUGCACCUGUCGAUGGUAGAUGAUAUGUUUUUUGUGUUGUUCGUUUCAGAGAUAAAAAUGGCUUCUGGACUUUGUGCUGGUUUGUAAGUACAGAUGGGAAUGAACUUUUUAGCAUGUAGCAUCCAAUAUUCAGAAUAUCAUUUGCUUUUGCCUGUCACUGAUGAAAAUUUUGUCCAUCAUUAAAUCAAUUGCACUUUGUAAGCCAUACUUUUCACCAUGCUCCUUCUCCAUGGUGUAGACAAAACAGAUAAUUCCUCUGAGAUUAAUUCCUAUGCCUACCUCUUUACAAGUAAUUGCUCUCCUUGCUCUUGUCCUCUUGACAGCAUGGAAAGUUGCUCUGCCAAGAACACAGUCCGUGGCAGGUUUCACAUGACAAUCUACCCACACAGAAAGACAAAACAAAUUGCUUCUUGACAUAUUGGUGCUAUCACCUCUUACGAAGCAGUAAAUUGCCUUGUAGACCAGAUGAUCUGGAAGUGCAUCUAAAACAUAGGAACCAGCCAAGUAUAAAGGUCCUCUUUCUUGUCAAAGAUCCAAAAAGGCCUAGCAUCUGUUUCAGUAUCUAAAGCAAAGGACUUCCUAUGGACACAGAUGUCAAGCAGUAGAUCUCUGAUGGUGUCUUAGUAGCUGGAGGCAAUGCAUCUGUCUGCUGACUUAACGUUGUUGCUUUUUCUGAUUUACCUGUUAGCUCCAGCUCUGAAGAAAAGUAGCCUGGCUUGCCUUACAUACUUGGUACAGAAGCUUAUCCAGCAGAUGUUCCUGCCAAUAGGAGACGAGAUCAACUCGCAUCAGAAGGAGGUCACUGGAUUCCUUGAAAAGAGAAGGUGGCUGUGCGUGACUUCCUGUACUUGUGCUUUCCUAAGCUACAGGGUAGUACUGAUCUUCCUCUGCAAGUUCAGUGCCUUGGAGCAGCAGGAUCCCUGC